rnacentral:rRNA from 14 species
UAACGACUUCCCCGCUGUCUCCAACAUCGACUCAGCGAAAUUGAAUUGCCUGUCAAGAUGCAGGCUUCCCGCGGUUAGACGGAAAGACCCCGUGCACCUUUACUACAACUUCGCAGUGGCAUUAGUGGCGAUAUGUGUAGGAUAGGCGGGAGACUUUGAAACCAGGGCGCCAGUCCUGGUGGAGUCGUCCUUGAAAUACCGCCCUUAUCCUCAUUGAUGUCUAACCGCGAGCCGUGAACCCGGCUCCGGGACCCUGCGUGGUGGGUAGUUUGACUGGGGCGG